rnacentral:rRNA from 1 species
GGGUUGUGAGGUUAAGCGACCAAGCGUACACGGUGGAUGCCCUGGCAGUCAGAGGCGAUGAAGGACGUGCUAAUCUGCGAAAAGCGCCGGUAAGGUGAUAUGAACCGUUAUAACCGGCGAUGUCCGAAUGGGGAAACCCAGUGUGACUCGUCACACUAUCAUUAACUGAAUCCAUAGGUUAAUGAGGCGAACCGGGGGAACUGAAACAUCUAAGUACCCCGAGGAAAAGAAAUCAACCGAGAUUCCCCCAGUAGCGGCGAGCGAACGGGGAGGAGCCCAGAGCCUGAAUCAGCAUAUGUGUUAGUGGAAGCG